rnacentral:rRNA from 1 species
CCUACGGGUGGCAGCAGUGGGGAAUUUUGGACAAUGGGCGCAAGCCUGAUCCAGCCAUUCCGCGUGAGUGAAGAAGGCCUUCGGGUUGUAAAGCUCUUUCGCAAGGGAAGAAAACUUAUCCUCUAACAUAGGAUGAGGUUGACGGUACCUUGAUAAGAAGCACCGGCUAACUACGUGCCAGCAGCCGCGGUAAUACGUAGGGUGCGAGCGUUAAUCGGAAUUAGCAGGCGGAAUGGUAAGGCAGGCGGUUAAUCCCCGGGCUCAACUUGGGAACUGCGUUUGAAACUACAAGACUAGAAUAGGUCAGAGGGGGGUAGAAUUCCACGUGUAGCAGUGAAAUGCGUAGAGAUGUGGAGGAAUAUCAAUGGCGAAGGCAGCCCCCUGGGAUCAUAUUGACGCUCAUGCACGAAAGCGUGGGGAGCAAACAGGAUUAGAUACCCUAGUAGUC